rnacentral:rRNA from 1 species
CCUACGGGGGGCAGCAGUGAGGAAUAUUGGUCAAUGGGCGUAAGCCUGAACCAGCCAAGCCGCGUGAGGGAUGAAGGUGCUAUGGAUCGUAAACCUCUUUUAUAAGGGAAUAAGGUGUGGGACGUGUCCUAUAUUGUAUGUACCUUAUGAAUAAGGAUCGGCUAACUCCGUGCCAGCAGCCGCGGUAAUACGGAGGAUGCGAGCGUUAUCCGGAUUUAUUGGGUUUAAAGGGUGCGUAGGCGGGCUUUUAAGUCAGCGGUAAAAAUCCGGGGCUCAACCCCGUCGGGCCGUUGAAACUGGGUGUCUUGAGUGGGCGAGAGGAAGGCGGAAUGCGUGGUGUAGCGGUGAAAUGCAUAGAUAUCACGCAGAACCCCGAUUGCGAAGGCAGCCUUCCGGCGCCCUACUGACGCUGAGGCACGAAAGUGCGGGGAUCGAACAGGAUUAGAUACCCUUGUAGUC